rnacentral:misc_RNA from 1 species
GUGAAUCAUCGAAUCUUUGAACGCAAAUUGCACUCUCUUCGGAGAGUAUGCCUGUUUGAGGGUCAGUAUUAAUAAAAAUCGGUGUGUUGCUUCUUUGUGACGCCUCGGAGUAUGGGUCAUUUUAAUAUAUCCUUUAGGUUUUAAGAGGCUUAAAAUUGACUUUUUUUUGUGCAUUUUAUUAGUUGUACAUAUAUUUUUUUCUUUAUUCGUCUGUCUCAACGCUCAAA